UGAGGUAUAGCUCAGUGGUAGAGUGCUUGCCUGGCAUGCAGGAGGCCCUGAGUUCAAGGCCCAGCACUGCUC
rnacentral:tRNA from 1 species